rnacentral:rRNA from 1 species
UACGUAGGGCGCAAGCGUUGUCCGGAAUUAUUGGGCGUAAAGAGCUCGUAGGUGGUUUGUCGCGUCUGCUGUGAAAACCCGAGGCUCAACCUCGGGCCUGCAGUGGGUACGGGCAGACUAGAGUGCGGUAGGGGGAGAUUGGAAUUCCUGGUGUAGCGGUGGAAUGCGCAGAUAUCAGGAGGAACACCAAUGGCGAAGGCAGAUCUCUGGGCCGUAACUGACGCUGAGGAGCGAAAGCAUGGGGGAGCGAACAGG